CCUACGGGAGGCAGCAGUGAGGAAUAUUGGUCAAUGGGCGCGAGCCUGAACCAGCCAAGCCGCGUGAAGGAUGACUGCCCUCCGGGUUUAAACCUCUUUUUAUAAAGGAAUAAAGUGAGGCACGUGUGCCUUUUUGUAUGUCCUUUCUGAUUACAGCUCGCCUAAUUCCUGGCCAGCGGCCGCGGUAAUACGGAGGUUCCGGGCGUGAUCCGGAUUUAUUGGGUUUAAAGGGAGCGUAGAUGGGUGGUUAAGCCAGGUGUGAAAGUAUGCGGCUCAACCGUGAAAUUGCAAUUGAUACUGGCAGGCUUGAGUGCAGUUGAGGUAGGCGGAAUUCGUGGUGUAGCGGUGAAAUGCAUAGAUAUCACGAAGAACACCGAUUGCGAAGGCAGCUUACUAAACUGCCACUGACAUUGAUGCUCGAAAGUGUGGGUAUCAAACAGGAUUAGAUACCCUUGUAGUC
rnacentral:rRNA from 1 species